GACAGAGGGUGCAAACGUUGCUCGGAAUCACUGGGCGUAAAGGGCGUGUAGGCGGGUAGAUAAGUCGGGCGUGAAAUCCCUAGGCUCAACCUAGGAACUGCACUCGAAACUGUUUAUCUUGAGUGCCGGAGAGGAAAGCGGAAUUCCUGGUGUAGAGGUGAAAUUCGUAGAUAUCAGGAAGGAACGACCAGUGGCGAAGGGCGCUCACUGG
rnacentral:rRNA from 1 species